ACACAUGCAAGUCGAACGCACCUUCGGGUUGAGUGGCGGACGGGUGAGUAACGCGUGAGAAUCUGCCUUGGGGUCGGGGACAACCACUGGAAACGGUGGCUAAUACCGGAUAAGCCUUUGGGUAAAAAAUUUAUUGCCCCAAGAGGAGCUCGCGUCUGAUUAGCUAGUUGGUGAGGUAAAAGCUCACCAAGGCAGCGAUCAGUAGCUGGUCUGAGAGGACGAUCAGCCACACUGGGACUGAGACACGGCCCAGACUCCUACGGGAGGCAGCAGUGGGGAAUUUUCCGCAAUGGGCGAAAGCCUGACGGAGCAAGACCGCGUGAGGGAGGAAGGCUCUCGGGUUGUAAACCUCUUUUCUCAGGGAAGAAGCUCUGACGGUACCUGAGGAAUCAGCCUCGGCUAACUCCGUGCCAGCAGCCGCGGUAAUACGGAGGAGGCAAGCGUUAUCCGGAAUUAUUGGGCGUAAAGCGUCCGCAGGUGGCGAUUCAAGUCUGCUGUCAAAGCACGGGGCUUAACUCCGUUAAGGCAGUGGAAACUGAAUAGCUAGAGUGCCGUAGGGGUAGAGGGAAUUCCCGGUGUAGCGGUGAAAUGCGUAGAGAUCGGGAAGAACAUCGGUGGCGAAAGCGCUCUACUGGACGGCAACUGACACUCAGGGACGAAAGCUAGGGGAGCGAAUGGGAUUAGAUACCCCAGUAGUCCUAGCUGUAAACGAUGGAUACUAGGUGUAGCUUGUAUCGACCCGAGCUGUGCCGAAGCUAACGCGUUACGUAUCCCGCCUGGGGAGUACGCACGCAAGUGUGAAACUCAAAGGAAUUGACGGGGGCCCGCACAAGCGGUGGAGUAUGGGGUUUAAUUCGAUGCGACGCGAAGUUCCUUACCAGGGCUUGACAAUGUCCGGGAUUCCCGGUGAAAGCUGGGAGUGCCUUCGGGAGCCGGUACACAGGUGGGGCAUGGCUGUCGUCAGCUCGUGUCGUGAGAUGUUGGGUUAAGUCCCGCAACAGAGCGCUACCCUCGCCUUUAGUGGCCAGCAUUAAGUUGGGCACUCUAGAGAGACUGCCGGUGACACACCGGAGGAAGAUGGGGAUGACGUCAAGUCAGCAUGCCCCUUACGCUCUGGGCGACACACGUAGUACAAUGGUCGGGACAGAGGGCAGCG
rnacentral:rRNA from 1 species